UAAAGUCAGCCUAUAGUUCUUGGUAUGCCUUUAAUCAAGAUUAAACAUCUAUUUUAAUAAGAUUUUAUAGUUGAACAUUAAAAAAAUGAAGAAUGACUAGCACAAUUGAUCAUUAUUAUAAAUAUAUUUUGAUAGGCAGCAAAACAGCUCUUCCUAUUCUACUUUUGAUAAUUAUCAGCCGGCCAAAUUACUAUCCCUCUUCUUCAGAUGGAGUCCUGCUGCUGCAAAGAAGAAGGCAGCGUAACAGUAUUCAUUGUUUUUGCACCACACCCAGUGCUCCAUGC